AUAACGACUCUCGGCAACGGAUAUCUCGGCUYUCMCAUYGAUGAARAACSUAGCGAAAUGCSAUACUUGGUGUGAAUUGCARAAUCCCGUGAACCAUCGAGUCUUUGAACSCAAGUUGCGCCCGAAGCCAUUAGGCCGAGGGCACGUCUGCCUGGGCGUCUCAC
rnacentral:rRNA from 1 species